CGCUAGAUCGUUGAGGGAUUG
rnacentral:miRNA from 1 species